rnacentral:rRNA from 1 species
UACGAGAGGCCCAAACGUUAUUCGGAUUUACUGGGCUUAAAGAGUUCGUAGGCCGCGCGGAAAGUAGGGUGUGAAAGCCCUCGGCUCAACCGAGGAACUGCGCUCUAAACUACCGUGCUUGAGGAACCUAGAGGUGAGCAGAACUGAUGGUGGUGCGGUGAAAUGCGUUGAUAUCAUCAGGAAUACCGGAGGCGAAGGCGGCUCACUGGGGGUUUUCUGACGCUGAGGAACGAAAGCGUGGGGAGCGAACAGG